rnacentral:rRNA from 1 species
AGUGAACGCUGGCGGUAGGCCUAACACAUGCAAGUCGAACGGCAGCACAGUAAGAGCUUGCUCUUACGGGUGGCGAGUGGCGGACGGGUGAGGAAUACAUCGGAAUCUACUUUUUCGUGGGGGAUAACGUAGGGAAACUUACGCUAAUACCGCAUACGACCUACGGGUGAAAGCAGGGGAUCUUCAGACCUUGCGCGAUUGAAUGAGCCGAUGUCGGAUUAGCUAGUUGGCGGGGUAAAGGCCCACCAAGGCGACGAUCCGUAGCUGGUCUGAGAGGAUGAUCAGCCACACUGGAACUGAGACACGGUCCAGACUCCUACGGGAGGCAGCAGUGGGGAAUAUUGGACAGUGGGCGCAAGCCUGAUCCAGCCAUACCGCGUGGGUGAAGAAGGCCUUCGGGUUGUAAAGCCCUUUUGUUGGGAAAGAAAAGCAGCAGGUUAAUACCCCGCUGUUCUGACGGUACCCAAAGAAUAAGCACCGGCUAACUUCGU